UCCUGCUUUCACCUCACAGCUAAACUUUUG
rnacentral:piRNA from 1 species